rnacentral:rRNA from 1 species
ACAGCAGUAGCCGCGGUAAAACGAAGGGUGCAAGCGUUAAUCGGAAUUACUGGGCGUAAAGCGUGCGUAGGCGGUUUGUUAAGUCUGUUGUGAAAUCCCCGGGCUCAACCUGGGAAUGGCAAUGGAUACUGGCAAGCUAGAGUGUGUCAGAGGAUGGUGGAAUUCCCGGUGUAGCGGUGAAAUGCGUAGAGAUCGGGAGGAACAUCAGUGGCGAAUGCGGCCAUCUGGGCCAAUACUGACGCUCAUGCACGAAAGCGUGGGGAGCAAACAGGAUUAGAUACCCCAGUAGUCCCUGUCUCUUAUAC